rnacentral:rRNA from 1 species
AUUGAACGCUGGCGGCAUGCCUUACACAUGCAAGUCGAACGGCAGCAUGAUCUCGCUUGCUAGAUUGAUGGCGAGUGGCGAACGGGUGAGUAAUACAUCGGAACGUGCCCUGUAGUGGGGGAUAACUAGUCGAAAGAUUAGCUAAUACCGCAUACGACCUGAGGGUGAAAGUGGGGGACCGCAAGGCCUCAUGCUAUAGGAGCGGCCGAUGUCUGAUUAGCUAGUUGGUGAGGUAAAGGCUCACCAAGGCGACGAUCAGUAGCUGGUCUGAGAGGACGAUCAGCCACACUGGGACUGAGACACGGCCCAGACUCCUACGGGAGGCAGCAGUGGGGAAUUUUGGACAAUGGGCGAAAGCCUGAUCCAGCAAUGCCGCGUGUGUGAAGAAGGCCUUCGGGUUGUAAAGCACUUUUGUCCGGAAAGAAAUGGCUCUGGUUAAUACCUGGGGUCGAUGACGGUACCGGAAGAAUAAGAACCGGCUAACUACGUG